rnacentral:rRNA from 1 species
UACGAAGGGGGCAAGCGUUGUUCGGAAUUACUGGGCGUAAAGGGCGCGUAGGCGGUGCGCUAAGUCAGAUGUGAAAGCCCUGGGCUUAACCCGGGAACUGCAUUUGAUACUGGCGCGCUUGAAUCCGGGAGAGGUUGGUGGAAUUCCCAGUGUAGAGGUGAAAUUCGUAGAGAUUGGGAAGAACACCGGUGGCGAAGGCGGCCAACUGGACCGGUAUUGACGCUGAGGCGCGAAAGCGUGGGGAGCAAACAGG